UGCUGCGCUCAUUUUGCCUACAGUCAUCCCACCUUGGCAAGGAUGUUUGCAAAAGCUCAUAAGCCAAGCAUAGUCAAGCCUAGUUAGUAUAUAGAUGGGUAAUCUCCAAGGAAAACCUAGCUACCGCAGGAA
ensembl:rRNA 5S_rRNA 5S ribosomal RNA